rnacentral:rRNA from 1 species
GAUGAACGCUAGCUACAGGCUUAACACAUGCAAGUCGAGGGGCAGCGGGAUUGAAGCUUGCUUCAAUUGCCGGCGACCGGCGCACGGGUGAGUAACGCGUAUCCAACCUUCCGUACACUCAGGGACAGCCUUUCGAAAGAAAGAUUAAUACCUGAUGGUAUGAUGAGAUUGCAUGAUAUCAUCAUUAAAGAUUUAUCGGUGUACGAUGGGGAUGCGUUCCAUUAGGUAGUAGGCGGGGUAACGGCCCACCUAGCCAACGAUGGAUAGGGGUUCUGAGAGGAAGGUCCCCCACAUUGGAACUGAGACACGGUCCAAACUCCUACGGGAGGCAGCAGUGAGGAAUAUUGGUCAAUGGACGAGAGUCUGAACCAGCCAAGUAGCGUGAAGGAUGAAGGUCCUACGGAUUGUAAACUUCUUUUAUAAGGGAAUAAACCCUCCCACGUGUGGGAGCUUGUAUGUACCUUAUGAAUAAGCAUCGGCUAACGCCGUG